GAACGACGCUGGCGGCAUGCCUAACACAUGCAAGUCGAACGAGACCUUCGGGUCUAGUGGCGCACGGGUGCGUAACGCGUGGGAAUCUGCCCCUUGGUUCGGAAUAACAGUUAGAAAUGACUGCUAAUACCGGAUGAUGACUUCGGUCCAAAGAUUUAUCGCCAAGGGAUGAGCCCGCGUAAGAUUAGGUAGUUGGUGGGGUAAAGGCCUACCAAGCCGACGAUCUUUAGCUGGUCUGAGAGGAUGAUCAGCCACACUGGGACUGAGACACGGCCCAGACUCCUACGGGAGGCAGCAGUGGGGAAUAUUGGACAAUGGGCGAAAGCCUGAUCCAGCAAUGCCGCGUGAGUGAUGAAGGCCUUAGGGUUGUAAAGCUCUUUUACCAGGGAUGAUAAUGACAGUACCUGGAGAAUAAGCUCCGGCUAACUCCGUG
rnacentral:rRNA from 1 species